UACGUAGGGUCCAAGCGUUAUCCGGAAUCACUGGGCGUAAAGCGUGCGUAGGUGGCGCGUUAAGUGAGAUGUUAAAUCGUGUGGCUCAACCAUAUCGAUGCAUCUCAUACUGGCGUGCUAGAGGACAGCAGAGGCAAGUGGAAUUAGCAGUGUAGCAGUGAAAUGCGUAGAUAUUGCUAGGAACACCAAUGGCGAAGGCAGCUUGCUGGGCCACUCCUGACACUGAGGUACGAAAGCGUGGGGAGCGAACAGG
rnacentral:rRNA from 1 species